UACGGAGGGGACUAGCGUUGUUCGGAAUUACUGGGCGUAAAGCGCACGUAGGCGGAUUUGUAAGUCAGGGGUGAAAUCCCGAGGCUCAACCUCGGAACUGCCUUUGAUACUGCAAAUCUCGAGUCCGGAAGAGGUGAGUGGAAUUCCUAGUGUAGAGGUGAAAUUCGUAGAUAUUGGGAAGAACACCAGUGGCGAAGGCGGCUCACUGGCCCGUAACUGACGCUGAGGUGCGAAAGCGUGGGGAGCAAACAGG
rnacentral:rRNA from 1 species